CACGUAGGGGGCAAGCGUUGUCCGGAUUUAUUGGGCGUAAAGAGCUCGUAGGUGGUUCGGUAAGUCGGGUGUUAAACCCCCAGGCUCAACCUGGGGACGCCACUCGAUACUGCUGUGACUUGAGUCCGGUAGGGGAGCGUGGAAUUCCUGGUGUAGCGGUGGAAUGCGCAGAUAUCAGGAGGAACACCGGUGGCGAAGGCGGGUCUCUGGGCAGUAACUGACGCUGAGGAGCGAAAGCGUGGGGAGCGAACAGG
rnacentral:rRNA from 1 species